AUGCUUGCAGGGAAGGAUGCAGCAGUGUUAGUUCCUUUUUCUUCCUUCUUUUGUUUUCUUUUCCCUCAUUUUCAGGGAUCUUGGAGCUGUCAAAUAAAAGAAAAAAAAAUCGAAAAUACUGAGAGAGUGGCUCUUCUUGCAGGAGAACCGAGGGAUAUGAGUGAAUACAAGGCUACCAGCACCCUGCAUGUGCGUCCCUCACUUCUGGAGCAGAACCUGGCUUUUGAACAGCUUGAAUGUCAGUGUGAUGAGAGAAAGCUGCUGAAUCACAUCACUGUGCUGAGUGUAUUCCUCAGAUGGUCUCUCCUUAACGAUGCAAGAAAAGAAAAGGGCUCAGGUGGGAGCUUCCAUCCUUCUGUUCUCCUUUCCUGCGGCUGUAAGGCAGAAAGCUCCUGUCACCCAGGAACAGAAGGUGGCCUGCUCCCUCUAUAGGCUCUCCUGGCUGUUGCUUGAAUGAGCUGCGGAUCAGAGGGUCCUGCCACCUCGGCUGCACCAGCACUGCCCUUUGUGGUGUCGUUCUGAUCACAAAAGCAAUCCUGACUGAGAGCAGCCCUGGAAAUAAAAAAGACGAUUCGUAACCUGGAUCAGCUCAGUGACCUGCUUUAUGGCACAGCCCCAUCAACAGUUGCAGAGGGGCUUAAGUGUGCAGAAGCAGCCUGAGGCAAGGAAGAAGAAUAUAAGAAAUUCCAGCAUUACUUUUGAAAGGUUUUGUCAUCAUGCCACUACAUUGCACCAUCAGGGUCUUGCAAAGAAUGCCUUACAAUGCAGAGUCUUACCCAAACCUGAAAAGGCUGAGGAGUAACAUUCUCUUUACUGCACACGUGACAUCAUCUUAAAAAGUAAGAUUAUGCUCGGCAGACUUAGGAUGAUGGAAAGUUGGGAAGAGUUGCUAUAAAUUUAAUUUCAGCAACGGUGAUGAUUCCAAUAAGAAGAAUGCGUUACCAUCACAGUUCUCUUUGCCUGUUCUACCUAUAGUUCUGUUCUCUUUUACUUCAAAAGAGGCAAAUCACCGCAUCAAACAGAGUGGACAAAUUCUGCACCAGGGCGACAUCAGAAAGUGAUGUGCAGGGCAGCUGGUAUUGCUAUUCGGGCUGCCGCUCUCUGAGGCUGCGACAAUCAUGCUCCAGGCUGGACUGCAGGCGCUGGUGACUGCAGGCAGAGGAGGGAGCUGCCGGUAAGCCCUGGCAGCCAGCCCCGGUGUCAAACUUAAGUGAAGUAUGAAUUAAACAAUGUCACUGCUGCAUACAAAAUUCCCACAAUUCUUUCUUGCUUUAAGGAGAUGAGCUCUGCAGAGGUUGGGAAAGGGACAAAAGUAGCCAGUAUUUCCUUGCCUCUUUUUCUUCAUGCUAAUCAACCAUGUUAAUGGUGCACUCGCUAAUCCUUCUGGCUUCUGAAUUAAAAAAAAAGAAAAAAAAAAGAAAACAGAAGACGCUUCUCUUGCGAGAAACUAAUGAAUCACCCUCUUUAGUGCAUAGCAUGCAUGACUGCAUUGUUAAAACCAGUCUUAAUCACUCACAGAGAAAAAUGGUAUCUAUCAUUUCUCCAUUUUAGUGAUGUUGUUAAUUGUAACCCUCAGCAAUUCUGACUCAGUCUGUGUACUGUGGCAGGCCCAGAAUGACUGCAAUAGAUUUUUAGCUAGUUAUAGGAUCCACCUAGUUUUUAUGCCUUAUGUCUUCCUAGUAUGCCUAUAAUUAGGAAAAAAUUGUAUGUUUCUUGGGGGAUCGCUGUUCUGCAGUUGGUUUUGGACUGAACUUCGUGCCAAAGGUCAAAGAAGAGAAACACUCUGGGGGCAAAUGACUUCAGCUGGAGAAUGGGAUAAAACAAUUCCUGUUCCUGGGCUGGAGGAAACAUACCCUUCAUUUCACUUUUAAAAAUGCUCUGAGACCUGUGGACCAUCCUUGAGUUCUCCAAUGGUGUUGGACAAGCUACACAUACAGCAGUUCAUCCUGCUUUAAAGGCAUAGGAACCUGUCAAUGGGACAAUCGUGUAAGGAGAAAGAUGUAAUGAGUGUAAAUAACAUGUUUUAAAAGUUCUAACAACUUCCUGGAAAGAAGGUGAAUGGACCUCAGAUGAGAAAUAAAUUAUGUUUUUUACUAGGAAUUGCCA
ensembl:lncRNA